rnacentral:rRNA from 1 species
GGGUGGUAAUGCCGGAUGCUCCAUCACACCGCAUGGUGUGUUGGGAAAGCCUUUGCGGCAUGGGAUGGGGUCGCGUCCUAUCAGCUUGAUGGCGGGGUAACGGCCCACCAUGGCUUCGACGGGUAGCCGGCCUGAGAGGGCGACCGGCCACAUUGGGACUGAGAUACGGCCCAGACUCCUACGGGAGGCAGCAGUGGGGAAUAUUGCACAAUGGGCGCAAGCCUGAUGCAGCGACGCCGCGUGAGGGAUGGAGGCCUUCGGGUUGUAAACCUCUUUUGUUAGGGAGCAAGGCAUUUUGUGUUGAGUGUACCUUUCGAAUAAGCACCGGCUAACUACGUGCCAGCAGCCGCGGUAAUACGUAGGGUGCAAGCGUUAUCCGGAAUUAUUGGGCGUAAAGGGCUCGUAGGCGGUUCGUCGCGUCCGGUGUGAAAGUCCAUCGCUUAACGGUGGAUCCGCGCCGGGUACGGGCGGGCUUGAGUGCGGUAGGGGAGACUGGAAUUCCCGGUGUAACGGUGGAAUGUGUAGAUAUCGGAAAA